rnacentral:lncRNA from 1 species
UACAAUGAAUGUACCUAUAGAUUUUAAUUUGGUAUUAUAGAAUCUCAUUGAAGAUCAUGCAAUGUUGAAAAUAUGUGUAUUUUUGAGUAAUCUCCCAUUGCGCAAAAUGACAGAGACCCACUAAACACCAUUUGUGCUCUGACAUAAAAAUCCAUUUAUCAGUACCACUAUUUGUCUACUAUAUGCUUCAUAAAAGUGUUUUAUUUGUUUAUAAAAUGUACAUGAUUGCAGUCCUUUGAUAACCUGAUACAACAUGUAAGUACCAUCGACCACUGACAUGAAAAGGAAAGUAAAAUACUGCUGUUACUUUGAAAAUGACCUCAGGCUCAACUCACACGUCAUUAGUUGAGCUCAUUGAGACUGAAUUUCCUAACUGACCAAUUACAUUAUCUCCACACUUCUGCUUCUAUUCUUUCAACAUGGACUGUUUACAUGUGGUUGAGGCUUUUCAAAUAAGCUAGCAUGUGAAAAGUAGCAGCACCAGUACAGUAGAAAAGGCCAUCUAGUUACUGAACUGGCCGUGCAUGUACAAAGCACAUAAACACUGAAUGUUCAACACCACAGAAGCCCCAAACAUUUUCUCUUCUUCUACCUCCAAUGCGCCCUGAUCGAUCGCUUUGUCAAAAUAGAUACUACACGCAAGAACUACUGCCACAACCCAAUCCAUCCAUGAGACCCACUAAACACCAUGUGUGGUUUGAAAAAAAAUCCAUUUAUCAGUAGAUUUAGUUUUGAGCAAGCAAGGUUACUAUUUCUAACCCCUCUGUAUAAGAAAAUUGAACGGAGGCUUAUAUCAGGGUAACCUAAUUUUAAAAAAAGGUGUUGUAUGUGCUAGAUUUCUGAUGAUUUAGGUCUUGGAAGACCUGAACAGGCAAGCAUAGUAUUGCAAGUAAGAAAACGUGAAACAUUGCUAAUAACGUGCCUCAUCUACUAGUAAGGGCUUUAUUUUAUACCAAAGUUUUAAGCAGCUACAAUUUACAAUUCAAACCUAUGACUGCACUCAAAGCUGAAGUGGCAUUUUUCAUCUGGUUCAGCAUCCCAAUCGAAAGCACACAAUAAUUUCCUGCAAUGGUGAGGCAGCUGAAUCAAUAACACGCAGACCACAUCGAGAGUUGAAACUCCACACUACAGGAAAACCAGAGCGAUACAGAUGGCUGAAGACAAUAUUUUAUCCGAACAAUAUUCAUUGCAUCCACGCUUACCUCCCUCUUCCCCUGUAGCUCCAGCCCAUAGCAUUCCACAGUUUAAAACAGAGCAGAUAAAGGGUGAGACAAUACCUCAACAACAAUUGCUCAACGAGUUAAGUGUCAUUUAGUUAUUCUUAUAUAAAAUUACACUCCAAAGUAUCUAGGCUUCAUUGCUCUUAACUGAGUACUCGUGUUCACUGACAUCUUCUAUUGCUAAAUUGCUGAUGCGUCAUCACUCGUCGGUUUCACAGUUCAGAGGAAGAAAUGCAAUUGAUUAUUUUUAAGUGGUUGGCUGACAUAUUGACCUAGCAUAGAUCAAGCAAUUCCAUGACAAUCUUAGUAUCAAGACUAACUUGUGCAUUGAUGUCAGUAGCACUCUGUUUUAGAAGGGAAAUGCUUUCGUCUAGUGAAGCUUGUUGUCCAGCCUGAUACAUAGCAGAGCCAUAGUUUUAGUUAGCCUCCAGCACAACAUAGGAGAAACAAAUCAAGUCAUUCAAUCAAAAGGACCUUGAAGCCCUCCUCUUUGGGGCUUCGGGAUGCUGAGCACUCGCGGGAGACAUGGAUCGUGCCAUCACAAUGCCCUUGGCACAAAAGAUUUUAGCACCUGGGACAUAUAAAGAAAAAUCAGAACAAAGGUGAAUCUAUUCUGAUAGACUUCAAGAGUGAAGGGGGGAGAAGGAUUGAGAGAAACUUGCCUUGCCAUCAGCCAUCCCUAGAUGGGAAUGCCACUUCAAGCUCCUCCCAUGCACACCAUCUUUACUUUGUAUUAGAAGUUUAGAACAAAUCACACAGUUCAAUCCUUUUGUCAAUGAAAACUGAGGAAGAACUCAAUAACUAUCCUACUCUGCACUGAUCAUUGCAUGGUAUUAAUAUUUCUAUUUCACAGAAUUAAAUUUCAGCAACCAUGCAAGCUCUGAACAUUGUUCUUGAUUAAAAGGGCAAAAGGAUAAACAAAUGAAUAAGUCUCACCAUCAGUACUCAGUUUGCACCCAAUUUUUUAUCCGAACAAUAUUCUUUGCAUCCAACUCCGCCUAUGUCUUCUAGGCAUAGCCGGUCCCAAGCCCGGGUAAAGGAGGAGGGUUGUGAUAGGCUUGGCGAGCCAACGUAAAAACUAGCCAGUCCCAUAGGUAUGGAACCGAUUUGAGCGAGAGUAGUACUAGGAUGGGUGGCCUCCUGGGAAGUCCUCGUGAAAGGGUUUCAUAUCUAAGGGUUGUGAUAGGCUUGGCGAGCCAACGUAAAAACUAGCCAGUCUUUUGGGUAUGAAACCCAUUUGGGCGAGAGUAGUACUAGGAUGGGUGACCUCCUGGGAAGUCCUCGUGAAAGGGUUUCAUAUCUAGCCUACCCCAACUUGUUUGGGAUCAAAGGCUUCGUAAGUAAGUAAUAUUCUUUGCAUGCACGCUUACCUCCCUCCUCCCCUGUAGCUCCAACCCAUAGCAUUACACAGUUUAAAAGAGAGCAGAUAAAGGGUGAGACAAUACCUCAACAACAAUUGCUUAAUUACUUGAGUGUCAUUUAUUUAUUCUUAUAUAAAAUUACACUCUAAAGUAUCUAGCGUUUCAUUGCUUUUGACUGGGCACUCGUGUUCACUGACAUCUUCUAUUGCUAAAUUGCUGAUGCGUCAUCACUCAUCAGGUUUCACAUUUCAGAGGAAGAAAUGCAAUUGAUUAUUUUUAAGUGGUUGGCUAACAUGUUGACCUAGCAUAGAUCAAGCAAUUCCAUGACCAUCUUAGUAUCAAGACUAACUUGUGCAUUCAUGUCAGCAACACUCUGUUUUAGAAGGGAAAUGCUUUCAUCCAGUGAAGCUUGCUGUCCAACCUGAUACAUAGCAGAGCCAUAGUUUUAGUUAAUCCUCUAGCACAACAUAGGAGAAACAAAUCAAGUCAUUCAAUCAAAAGUACCUUGGAGCCCUCCUCUUUGGGGCUAUGGGAUGUCUAGCACUUGCAUGAGAUAUGCAUCGCGCCAUCACAAUGCCCUUGGCACAUAAGAUUUUAGCACCUGGGAUAGAAACACAUGGUGCCCGCACGCCUCGGUUUGUACAUGAAAACAUAUGAAACAUUAAAAAGCAGAGAAGCAAGAUCUGUAGUGUUCCCAUCAACCAUUGAAAGAUUCAAUUAGGAAUGAAUUAGUUACUUUUACACACAGUAAAGAAUGAAAGCUUAAAAGCCAUCAAAACAUAUUCAGUCAAAUCAGCAGCAAUCUGAAAUUAUAACUACCAUGAUAUUUUUAGAAACCAAUCUUGCAAACAAAGUAGGAUAAUUACCACAAUCUUCUUGGAAUUCAUGGUCCCACCUAGCUAGUCUCAACAAACGCCAGAAGUUGGUGAUCCCAUAAAUGUAUUAAGUGAUUGUCUUAAAGUUUGGACCAGACUCACACAAUUAUCCCUGCAAAAAUUGGACAGACCAAAAUUACUAAUACUUUGUACUUGCACAAAACAGAAAGGUAUAUAGUCAGAAAGUAGUCAAGUAAAAAACCCUCUCCAUCCCAACCACUUCAUUGAAAUAUUAAAAUGAGACAGAUUCCCUAGCCAAAUUUAUAACAGUAAUACAUAGUUCAAAGAUUGAAUGAUAUCCCUAAUAGUAAACUGAACUAUAGAAGGUGCUACAGCUUGCCAUCUUUGCUGUAACUACACGAUGAUAUUCCUAAGAAACUAUAAUCUGCGUUGGUACUUUCUCAGGUUUAGGAUAUCCAUUCCUUACAUGGCAAUGCAACCCAACAUGAUAUCCUUUAUGCUUAUGGUUAAUACGAAAGAUCUAGUAAAAUAAAGUAUCAACAGAAAUAGGGUCAGUACUAAAUUGUUAAUCUACUUAUCUGCAAUCCAUCUUCAGAGAUCACUCUACAUGAUGGUCAUAACCUCUAUAUAUUAAUUCCUCUAUACUUACAUUUUGUAAGAUGAUCUGUGAAAGUAUUAUAUGUACUCGUUAGAAAAAUACUCAUGAAAGUACACUGUUCCAAAAAUGGAACAAUAAAUUUGACACAAACUUGAUGACAGUCUGAAGCUAAACUCCGACUGUGAGGCCAUAUAUGCAUUUUGUUAUGGAAUGGUCUGAAUCAUAAAUUCGCUGCCAGGAAAGAAACCUGCACAAUCAGGAUUAUACACUAAGAGGAAGGACUAAAGAAAAAAAUGCAGUCAAAUAAAAAUAUUAACACAAAAAGGUCAAUCAGUACCAAGAAAAGGGGUCGGCAAAAGAUGUAGAUCCAAACUGAACUGAAUUUUGGGGCUAAAUGACAAGAAUACAUCUAUUUAACUAUUGCACCGAUUCGAGUUGAAAACGGAAGGGUGGCUCAAUAAAUAAUCAAUGCAGGAAACUACUAUCACAGUAUAUGGAAAACCAUCACCAGGGUCCAUCUGUAUUAUUUGUUGGACUACACAAAAUGUGAAAUAUGGUCUUGUCUAUUGUGAGUCAACGACUGGGUUUCUAACCAUUGUGUGGGAUUAAUGAUACAAUUUUGGAGCAUACAGGGCAUCAACAUCUCAUUCAUGUGAUAUCAUAAGUAUUCUCAUUUCUGCAACCUACGUAUAGCCAGCAAACGGAAGCAGGCUCAUCUAAUAAGAAAAUAAAUGUGAACUUCUUUCAAGUAGAAAUAUACCUAAAAGAAUAAAUCUCAUACAUACGAGAUUUUGAAAUGUAGCAGCGCCAGAUUUAGAAGGGUGGAGAGAUAGGUUGAUCUGUAAGGUUAGAAUUAGACAUAUGGAUGAAUCAUAGAAAUUACAAGCUAAAUAUUAUGGGCCUAAUGAGUCCUUCAAACGAAUAUUCUCCUCCCUGAUAUGGAAUAACAAUCUGCACACUUCAGAAGAAAUCUAGAUGAGGGAACCAAAAAAAGCUUCAAAUGUGUGCAUUCAUGGAAAAAGAAGAAAUCACACACGCAGGUUGAAGGAGGAGCUCAAGUGGACCUGGUGCUUCACCGUAGUCGAGGGCACGACAUCCCCUGAUGCACUCACGAGAGGGAUUACUGGAUUCGAAGAGAAGAGGAGGCGGCAACCACUGAACUCACCACUAGGUAUUGAUAGUUACUGGAAGAGAAGAGAAGAAGAGGGAUUACUGGAAUAAUUUUUAGAGACUGCAAUGAGAUACAGCUAAAGCAACAUUAUUAUCACAAGUCAUUGAUAGUUUUCUAAUCACAAAGAAGAACAUGGUGGUUGGAUCAAUGUCAAUGGAAUAAUUUCAAGUUGCAAGAGAGAUGUAGACCCAAGAGAUGUGCCCCAAUGAUGCUGACACCAAUCUGUAGCAUGCAAGCUCUUGUGUCUAGUAGGCGAGCACCCGCAGGUUGGGAGCACAAGCGAUCCUAAGCCCCACCACACCAUUAGGCGGCAGGAACAAGAAGA